UACAUUUGUGCAUGUGUGUUUAACAUAUUUUUCUUUUUUUUUCUAAAGGGCUCAGAUUACCCAGAACCCCAACCUCCGAAGAAAAAUAUUCAAACGACUAUUUCCCUUGUAAACUACACGGAUUCUAAUGAAUCUCAGAGUCAAGUCUCAUUUAAUGAGGGGGAAGAGAACGAGACAACAAUUCCAGAUGUGAGCCACGUCGAUGCAGCACCAAAGCAGGACACCAUGACACCUCCACAAGCCCAUUGCAGCCGAUCACCAAAAAAAGACAGAGGUCGUCGACCUUUAAAGAGAAGGAUGUGGGACAAAGAGGAGAUCCGUGCUGUCGAGAUGCACAUGAUGUCCUUCAUCACUUCAUGUCGUGUUCCUGGGAAAAGCGACUGUGAUAAGUGCCUUGAACUCAAAAAAGUAGCUCUCAAAAACAGAGAUUGGUUAGCCAUAAAGUUCUACAUUAAGAAUCGAAUCACAGCUCUCAAGAACAAAGUUUAAAAUGAUCAUUUAAUGUCAGCAACAUGUUCAAUUGUUUCCUUCAUACAUUGCUUUGUUUGCAAUGCAAUGACAUUUGGAUACUGUUCAGUGUUCUGCUAGAUGAAUUAUUGUUGUGCAACAAUAGGUAUGGUUGUAAAUCACCAGCUUCAUUACAAUACGAUAUUAUAUCAAUUUGUUUGGAUGACAAUAUGAUGUUUGCCGAUUUCACAAAGUCUGUCACGAUUCGAUUUCGAUUCGAUACGAUUCAGCAGCCUGCGAUCGAUAUGACGCGAUAUUAUAUUAUUUGACCAUUUUAUUUCUGAGCUCUGUUUGUUGUUUGAGCGGAGGCGCACUUGCCCAGAAAUGGUGCAAGAUGUGCUAUGUGAAU